CCUACGGGGGCUGCAGUGGGGAAUAUUGGACAAUGGGCGAAAGCCUGAUCCAGCCAUGCCGCGUGUGUGAAGAAGGCCUUCGGGUUGUAAAGCACUUUCAGUGGGGAAGAAAGCCUUGGGGCUAAUACCCUCGAGGAAGGACAUCACCCACAGAAGAAGCACCGGCUAACUCCGUGCCAGCAGCCGCGGUAAUACGGAGGGUGCGAGCGUUAAUCGGAAUUACUGGGCGUAAAGCGCGCGUAGGCGGUCUGAUAAGCCGGUUGUGAAAGCCCCGGGCUCAACCUGGGAACGGCAUCCGGAACUGUCAGGCUAGAGUGCAGGCGAGGAAGGUAGAAUUCCCGGUGUAGCGGUGAAAUGCGUAGAGAUCGGGAGGAAUACCAGUGGCGAAGGCGGCCUUCUGGACUGACACUGACGCUGAGGUGCGAAAGCGUGGGUAGCAAACAGGAUUAGAUACCCCGGUAGUC
rnacentral:rRNA from 1 species